GUGUGUGAAUAUAUUAUAAAAAAAAGAGAGAGAAAGGGAACCAUGCCUAAAAUACUUGGUACACUACCAUAACCCUCAAAGUAUGAGAACACUUCAACUCUCAAUCUCACUCAUCUCUCCUGGCCAAAACACACCAACCCUCUCAUCUUUUUCCAAUCUCUACACACACACAGAGAGAUUAAAAUUGCUCUCAUUCAUCUCCUUCAAAACAAAUCCCACAUACACACCCUCAAAUACCUGUGUCCCUCCUCUCGACACUAAUUGCAGACAUGAAGAAAAGGCCAAACACUCUCACAUCAGCUCCCUCUUCCUCUCGACAGUCGGCGGUGGAUAAAGACACGCCGCCGCUCACGGCGGCGGCAGUGGUGACUCUGAACAACGAGAACAAUCCCCUUCCUCCUCCUCCUGUUAGCCACACAUCUGAACUCCCUCAUUUCGACCGGUGUAAUGGCCGACCACCACCACCACCACCGUCUGGUGGUGGUGCGAUGUUGAAGCGAAAAGAUGAGAGAGAGAGAGCGACGGAGAUAGGGAGCGGCACCGCCGCUCACGGCAGCGACAGUGGAGACGAGCGACGGCGGCGGGUGCUUGUUCGACGCGUCUUUCCGGCAAACAACCGCGGAACCACCCCCCAACCUAAAUCGAGGUUUCCGAACAUGAUUCAGGCUUCCAAUGUCCAUUAUGAGCAACCUGGGUAGCAUAUUGAAGUCCGACAGCCCGAUUUUGCUUGAAGCUUCUCCGGUAAGUGACGUUCUCUUCAUACUAGAGAAGGUUCGUGAUUUUUGUGCUGAUUUAUUUUCUUUUUUUGGGAAUCAUGGCGUCUGUGGGGGUACGACUCCACUGCCAGUGGCUUCUGACCGGUGUCGACGGCGGAGGUGGUGGUUAGAUCCAGCUGGUUUUGUUUUGCUUCGGGUCGGAUAUGUUCAAGUCAAGUUUUGGGGUUUUAGAUACGGCUCAGUCAGAUUCGGGUUCAUGUUCGGUUUGGAUUUUAGUUCAAGCGGGUCAGAUUGGUUACGGGAUUCAGGUCAACGAAAGUCAACUGGUCAGUCGUGGUUCGAAUCAGAUUCCAGUUCGGGUUCGGUUCAACGAGUCAGAUCUUGGUUUGCUUCAACAGGCUCGGUUCGAUGAUCAGGUUCAUGACUCGGUCAGCGGGUCAAAGAAGUCAACAGAAUGGUUCGGGUUCGCGACUCGGUCAACCCGAGUGAACUCGGUCAAACCUGGUCAGCUCAGUGAGUCAACCAGGUCAACCCGGUUGGCUCGGUCAACUCAGUCAACCUUUUCAGCGAAACGACACGAAGAUUCGGGAUGUAGUUGCACGCUAGCUAAAUACGCGUUCUUGGAACAACACUACGGAAUCACGCUAAGCUAGCAUUGCACAGGAAUGUUAAGGUUACAUUUUUGAAACUAUGGAACGGUUGGAAUAGGAGAACCUUUGGGAAUUCGAGUAAUUAGCAGGCGUUAUAUUUCUAGAAGUCUUAGCUUAUUUCCUUCCGCUGUGCAAUGAAGAUACCGGUCCAGUCACGCCAACUCUGAUAUUUCGGGGUGUGACACACUGCCACCGCCUCGACCGCCUGUUUGACUGACCCGUCCAUUGUUUGGAGCCCUUACCUGUCCAUUCCUACGUCCACCGACUCUUUGACCAUCAGACACUUGACCCCAUUGGAAAGAUUGCUCUUGCGAAUCCAUUUAAUACCAACACCAUAUGAAUGAGAAAUUAAAUUAGCAUAUAAACUAUUACUCUAUGCAUAUACAAAAAAACACCCUUAGUACAUUAGCAGUUCUGCGCACCCUUAGGCUCAUAAGUCUCAAUCUGAUAGUGUCAGUUAGAUCGAGUAUACAAGCACCCAAAAUAACUUUAGAUUGAAAGAUUAUGUACCUGGUUGAUGAUGGAAAAACACUGGAGAACAGGAACAAUCUUCAGUCAGUGAAAAAAAGGGAGUUGCAGGUAGGGAGAGAGGAGGAUGACAGGGGUUUAUUUUUCAUUAUUUUGAACGGCAAACGUAGGGGCUAGGGUAUAUGAUCAAUUGCAAAAGCAACAGCAAAUGGUUAAUACUAGUAAAUGAUACGAUACGCAAGGAAGAAGGGCGUGAGAUUUUUUUGUAGAUUUCCAAGAAAGAUCUUUAAUAGUGUAGUUUACUAGUUUUAGAAAAAAAAUAGAAUGAAUUACAGAAAUUGUACCUUAUGUUUGACCCCUAUUUCAGUCGGUGUACCUCGUCUUCUAAAAUGAUGUUUUUUGUA